rnacentral:rRNA from 1 species
UACGAAGGGGGCUAGCGUUGUUCGGAUUUACUGGGCGUAAAGCGCACGUAGGCGGAUCGAUCAGUCAGGGGUGAAAUCCCAGAGCUCAACUCUGGAACUGCCUUUGAUACUGGCGAUCUGGAGUAUGGAAGAGGUGAGUGGAAUUCCGAGUGUAGAGGUGAAAUUCGUAGAUAUUCGGAGGAACACCAGUGGCGAAGGCGGCUCACUGGUCCAUUACUGACGCUGAGGUGCGAAAGCGUGGGGAGCAAACAGG